UACAGAGGGGGCAAGCGUUGUUCGGAAUUACUGGGCGUAAAGGGCGCGUAGGCGGCCCGCUAAGUCGGAUGUGAAAUCCCCCGGCUCAACCGGGGAAGUGCAUCCGAAACUGGCGGGCUAGAGUACGAGAGGGUCGCGGAAUUCCCGGUGUAGAGGUGAAAUUCGUAGAUAUCGGGAGGAACACCGGUGGCGAAGGCGGCGACCUGGGUCGAUACUGACGCUGAGGUGCGAAAGCGUGGGGAGCAAACGGG
rnacentral:rRNA from 1 species